CCCUUAGAUGUUCUGGGCUGCACGCGCGCUACACUGACGCACGCAACAGGUGCCUGCUCCGAGAGGACUGGGUAAUCAUUUGAGAGUGCGUCGUGAUGGGGAUAGAAUAUUGUAAUUAUUACUCUUCAACGAGGAAUUCCUAGUAAGCGCCAGUCAGCAGCUUGCGCUGAUUACGUCCCUGCCCUUUGUACACACCGCCCGUCGCUCCUACCGAUGGGUGAUCCGGUGAAUGAUUCGGACUUCAGCGGCUCCCCUGGGGUGCGCCGGAGAAAGUUUUGUGAACCUUAUCACUUGGAGGAAGGAGAAGUCGUAACA
rnacentral:rRNA from 1 species